rnacentral:tRNA from 1 species
UAGGAAGAAUUAAUCGAGGAUAAGCUGCUAACUUAGCCCUCUAGCGGUUAAAUUCCGUUACUCCCUUA